rnacentral:ncRNA from 1 species
AUAAAAGCUAUGAAAAAGAGGAGUAGGCAGUUAAUGCACAAAGAGAGGGAGGUUCAGCGGCUGAAAGGCCUCCUGUGAAGAUUGCUGCUGAAGGUAGCUUUUGAGCUUUCUGUAUGAACUUUAGUAAUGCAGAACGGUUGCCCGUUACAGUUUUGAGUGCCGAAAAUUUCGGAAUAAAGGUGGUACCGCGGUUCUUCGCCCUUUUG